rnacentral:rRNA from 1 species
GAUGAACGCUGGCGGCGUGCCUAAUACAUGCAAGUCGAGCGAACAGAUGAGGAUUUUGCUCCUCUGACGUUAGCGGCGGACGGGUGAGUCACACGUGGAUAACCUACAUAUGAGACUGGGAUAACUUCGGGAAACCGGAUCUAACACCGGAUAAUAUAUUGAACCGCAGGGUUCAUUAGUGAAAGACGGUUUUGAUGUCACUUAUAGAUGGUUCCGGGCCGGAUUAGCUAGUUGGUAAGGUAACGGCCUACCAAGGCAACGAUGCGUAGCCGACCUGAGAGGGUGAUCGGCCACACUGGAACUGAGACACGGUCCAGACUCCUACGGGAGGCAGCAGUGGGGAAUCUUGGACAAUGGGCGAAAGCCUGACGCAGCCACGCCGCGUGUGUGAAGAAGGUCUUCGGAUCGUAAAGCUCUGUUAGUUGGGAAGAACAAAUGUGUAAUUAUAUCUUGAUGUCUUGACGGUACCAACUGAGAAAGCAACGGCUAACUACGUG